rnacentral:misc_RNA from 1 species
GAUGAAGAACGUAGCGAAAUGCGAUACGUAAUGUGAAUUGCAAAUUCAGUGAAUCAUCGAGUCUUUGAACGCACAUUGCGCCCCCUGGUAUUCCGGGGGGCAUGCCUGUCCGAGCGUCAUUACAACCCUCAAGCUCAGCUUGGUGUUGGGCCCCGCCGCCCCGGCGGGCCCUAAAGUCAGUGGCGGUGCCGUCCGGCUCCGAGCGUAGUAAUUCUUCUCGCUCUGGAGGCCCGGUCGUGUGCUCGCCAGCAACCCCCAAUUUUUUUCAGGUUGACCUCGGAUCAGGUAGGGAUACCCGCUGAACUUAAGCAUAUCAAUAAGCGGAGGA